GCAGGAUUGAAUUUCUCCUCCUCGGUGUCGACCGGGUGAUGAACAUAGAUGAGUUCAACGCCAUCUUCGGCUUUGACAGCGCCAGCCAGCAGGAGAUCCCUAGGAACCACAUGCUCUACAACAACAUCAACUUCUGGAGUUCCAUUGCCCUGAACACAGAGCCCUAUAAUUCCAGCAAGUCCAAAUCCAUGGGCAUCACUAGU
rnacentral:misc_RNA from 1 species